CCUACGGGAGGCAGCAGUGGGGAAUAUUGGACAAUGGGCGAAAGCCUGAUCCAGCCAUGCCGCGUGUGUGAAGAAGGCCUUCGGGUUGUAAAGCACUUUCAGUGGGGAAGAAAGCCUUGGGGCUAAUACCCUCGAGGAAGGACAUCACCCACAGAAGAAGCACCGGCUAACUCCGUGCCAGCAGCCGCGGUAAUACGGAGGGUGCGAGCGUUAAUCGGAAUUACUGGGCGUAAAGCGCGCGUAGGCGGUCUGAUAAGCCGGUUGUGAAAGCCCCGGGCUCAACCUGGGAACGGCAUCCGGAACUGUCAAGCUAGAGUGCAGGAGAGGAAGGUAGAAUUCCCGGUGUAGCGGUGAAAUGCGUAGAGAUCGGGAGGAAUACCAGUGGCGAAGGCGGCCUUCUGGACUGACACUGACGCUGAGGUGCGAAAGCGUGGGUAGCAAACAGGAUUAGAUACCCGGGUAGUC
rnacentral:rRNA from 1 species